GCCGGCUCCAAAUGACGUCACAUAAGCAAGAUGGCAGCUCCAAGGAAAGGAGAUAUUUUGGCCUCACUUUUGCACAGCUAGGUGAAGAGGUAGGCAUGGAUCUCAUCCUCAGCAGGAAUGUUGUCCACAUUGCUGACUCUGACCUUCUGGGCGACAGGGAUGCAUCUGGGCAUCAGCUUUUUUCCACUCUGAAAGAGAAAUGACUGGAGUUUUUUAGCCUCGCCCAUGUAUUUGUUUUUUGUAGUUCCAUCACAAAACACUCUUCUCUUCACGCUGCCUGCAACAUGAAGAGAGAGGGUUUUUCAUACAGUAACAAGCUCUUUGGCUUUCUUCAGGGAUGCUGUCAAGGCUCUGCAGCAGCAAAGACAUAUGGUUCUCAAUACUGGCCAGCUUUUCUAAUGUGCUGAGGUUGGUCACCCUGUCAUCCACGCAGCAGCGAUGCACCUCGGCCACCUUCUCCCCAAGAGCAUCCAACAUUACGUCCUGCAAGCAAGAGGAGGAGAUGAGAGGGGAGGAGAAAAUAAGAGCCAGAUCUCUGCAGCUCAGAUCUACUAAAGCCACCUUACAUGAUUUCUGAGUGUUGUUACUACACAGAUCUUGCAU